GAAAUGCGAUACUUGGUGUGAAUUGCAGAAUCCCGUGAACCAUCGAGUCUUUGAACGCAAGUUGCGCCCGAAGCCAACUUGGUUGAGGGCACGCCUGCCUGGGCGUCUCACGUUGCGUCUCACGUUGCGUCCGGUCCGUCGCGGGGGGCCUGUCGUGACCCUAUCGCGCCGCCGCCAAGGCGCUCCGAUCGCGACCCCAGGUCAGGCGGGAUUACCCGCUGAGUUUAA
rnacentral:misc_RNA from 1 species